UACGAAGGGGGCUAGCGUUGUUCGGAUUUACUGGGCGUAAAGGGCUCGUAGGUGGCCAACUAAGUCAGACGUGAAAUCCCUCGGCUUAACCGGGGAACUGCGUCUGAUACUGGAUGGCUAGAGUUUGGGAGAGGGAUGCGGAAUUCCAGGUGUAGCGGUGAAAUGCGUAGAUAUCUGGAGGAACACCGGUGGCGAAGGCGGCAUCCUGGACCAACACUGACGCUGAGGAGCGAAAGCCAGGGGAGCAAACGGG
rnacentral:rRNA from 1 species